rnacentral:rRNA from 1 species
UACGGAGGAUGCAAGCGUUAUCCGGAAUGAUUGGGCGUAAAGCGUCCGCAGGUGGCUGUGUAAGUCUGCUGUCAAAGAGCGAAGCUCAACUUCGUAAAGGCAGUGGAAACUACACGGCUAGAGUGCGUUCGGGGCAGAGGGAAUUCCUGGUGUAGCGGUGAAAUGCGUAGAGAUCAGGAAGAACACCGGUGGCGAAGGCGCUCUACUGGACUGCAACUGACACUCAGGGACGAAAGCUAGGGGAGCGAAUGGG